rnacentral:rRNA from 1 species
AUGGGCAAGAAGGCUGCUGGCACCGGCGAGGAUCCCUUCCGCCUCCUCCCCGACGACCAGCUCGACCACAUCCUGUCCCUUCUGCCGGGAGAUGAUGCCCUGCAGACUUGCUUGCUUGACACCCAGUGGCGUUACUUUUGGAGGCGCAAUCCCUGCACUGGUGUGGACCAUAUCAGUUUCAAACAAACCAAUCGAUUGAUUAACGAGUACUCCCUCCGUCCGGAAAUACUUGUCGGGGAAAUGGAUGAAUCUAGACGUAUUUUAAUUAUAGAUACAUCCAAUUUUAUCCAUUUCUCCGACAAGUAUUUUGGGACGGAGGGAGUACAUUUUAAAGUGCCGCUGUGUUCUGUGGACGCACCAGUAUCACCUGGUACACGUCUCAUCUCCCGCCACUUGAGGCACACAACAUUUUAUUAUGUUGACCUCAUAGAUUCCUCGGCGGAUUUCUCGGGCUGCCCAGUAUUAGAGCAGCUAACAAUACAAAGUUGCCUUGUUGACGCGUUUGAGAUUUUUGUUGUUGUUGAAAAGGAGGCGUACCUCCGGCCUCUGCAUCAAUCGAUGCAUGCUGCCCAGUAUUAG